GCGUUGGUGAGGCCGAGGGGCUACGCCGCGACGAGUAGGAGGGUCGCCGCGGUGCGCACGGAAGCCCAGGGCGCGGGCCCGGGUGGAGCCGCCGCGGGUGCAGAUCUUGGAGGUAGUAGCAAAUAUUCAAACGAGAACUUUGAAGGCCGAGAUAUCCUGUUGUGAAAGUGUAUGCAUCAACGUGUAGAU